UACAGAGGGUGCGAGCGUUGUUCGGAAUCACUGGGCGUAAAGGGCGCGUAGGUGGCGAGCCAAGUCCAUGGUGAAAGCUCGAUGCUCAACAUCGAGUCGGCCACGGAUACUGGUGCGCUUGAGCACUGUAGAGGCUAAUGGAAUUCCGGGUGUAGCGGUGGAAUGCGUAGAGAUCCGGAAGAACACCGGUGGCGAAGGCGGUUAGCUGGGCAGUUGCUGACACUGAGGCGCGACAGCGUGGGGAGCAAACAGG
rnacentral:rRNA from 1 species